rnacentral:lncRNA from 1 species
GGCUACUUAUUGCAAUUAAAAGAAACAGAAACAGUAGUGUGGCCAUCUCCGAGUCCCUCGCAGCUCCAAACCAUCUAAGCUUAGGGAUUACCUGCACAGUUAGAAAUGGGGUGAGUUUACGAAAACUCAGUGUGUAACCCCAAUAACAAACAAAUAGUAAAUAACACGGUAUCAGUACAAUCUGGGCCAAAGCCCUAUUUAGUCUUGACAUAUACUGGGCCGAAGCCUUUCCAUAAAUCAUAUCACUGGGCCGAAGCCUUUUCAUAAAUCAUAUCACUAGGCCGAAGCCUUUUCAUAAAUCAUAUCACUGGACCGAAGCUUUUUCAUAAAUCAUAUCACUAGGCCGAAGCCUUUACUGUAAACGGUAUGGCCCUUAGGCCCAUUUCAAUAUCACAUGUAAUGUCAAUGGAUGUAUGCAAGCCCAUUUCAAUAUCACAUGUAAUGUCAAUGAAUGUAUACAAGCCCAUUUGGGGAGACUACUCGACCCACCAUCCGCUACUCUCCACCCGUACCAACCAAGCUCUCCAUGUGGGGAAUAACUCAACCCACCAAACCAAACUCUCCACUGGCAGCAUAGCUGCUUUAUCAUAUAACUGGUUGCCUAGCCUCUUUUAAUAACUGGGGCAAAGCCCUUUCUGAUAAACUGGGGCAAAGCCCUUUUCGGUAAACUAGGGCAGAGCCCUUUUAGCACUUCCUCCAUCAAUAUAACCCAUAUCCCAUGCAAUAGGUCAUGUAUGCAGAAUCUCACACCCAUAUUUGAAUCAAACAAUCAUAGUCAAGUCAUUCAUAUCACCAACAUAUAUUCACAAUCAAAUCCGUCAACCACACAGUCCAAGUCAGUCACUUGCCCACAAGGGCAAAAUAGUCAUUUUUCAUAUUAUAAGGGUAUUUUUGUAAUUUUACCAAAAAUCAGGGUUUUCCAUGUUCAUUACAAUUGUCAAUAUUUCUGAGUGUUUAAACAAUAAUCUUUAACCCACUUAUCAAAUUCAGGUUUUUGGGCCCAAAACCCCUAAUGGGCCCUAUGAGUGCUGAUUUAGCCCACUAAGCCUGCUUAACCCAAAUUUUACAACAAUACUAACCGUGUUAACAUGCAAAUUUUCCAAAUUCCAUUUUCUAUCAAUUUUACCCAAAUGGGCCCAAAAGCCCAUUUGGCCCAAUUCCAGCCCAUUGAGGCUCAACUUACCAUCGUGCACAAAAUUGAGUUCUUACCCAUUCUAUCGAUCCAAACACCGAUCUUAUCGUAUUUAUCGCAUCUAUACCCACGCCAACAUUACUAGUUCCCGAAAUAUCGGUAUUUUAGCAUUUCAGCUUCUCAGCAGAUAUUAAUCUAAGCUACUAUGAGGGUUAGUACACACCUGUUAUGGGUUGAAGUUGAAACGUUUCCAUCAUCAAUCACCUACAAUAACCACCACAUGUCACUCAAACUUAACUAAUCCAAUAUCAAUAUAUGUAAAUCCUAAGCACAUCAGUCAUACAGAACAUAAGGACGUAUUUGUCAUUUUACCAUACAAGGGUAUUACAGUCACUUUACCCUACAGGGGCUUUACGGUCUUUUUACCUAUUAGGGGUAUUUUAGUCAUUUCAUCCUACAAGGGUGUUUUGGUAAAUCUACAAACCAAGGGUAUUUCAGUAAUUUUGUAAACUUAUGGUAUUUCUAUAAAUUUUAGAAAGUCAAGGGUAUUUCUUUAAUUUUGUAAAUCAGGGGUAUUUUGGUAAUUUUACGAAUUGAGGGUAUUUUGGUAAUUUCACAAACCAGUGGUAUUUCAGUAAUUUUACAAACUAAGGGUAUUUUGGUAAUUCUAUCCUACAGGGGUAUUUCAGUAAUUUCACAAUCGAGGGUAAAACGAUAAUUUUGUAAACUGAGGUUAAAAUAGUAAUUUUGUAAAUCGAGGGUAAAACGGUAAUUCUAUAAAUCGAGGGUAAAAUGGUAAUUUUAUAAAUCAAGGGUAAAACAGUAAUUUUGUAAAUCGAGGGUGAAACGGUAAUUCUAUAAAUCGAGGGUAAAACGGUAAUUUUGUAAAUCGAGGGUGAAACGAUAAUUCUAUAAAUUGAGGGUAAAAUGGUAAUUCUACAAAUCGAGGGCAUUUCAGUAAUUUGGUAAACUAAAGUAUUCAAAACAGGGAUAACAAUACGAAUAGGCCUAAAGCCUAUUCUAGGCCCAAAUGGGUCCACACGCUCGUGUGGCCCUUUUAGCCCAAAUCUAGCCACAAAUAUGAGAUUCACCUAGCCUAGUCCAAUAUUUACUACACAAUCAAACAACUUAUCCAAUUGGGCCCGUACGCCCAUUAGGCCCACAUGACCCCUUUCGGCCCAUCGCGACCCGAAGUAGCCAUCCUACAACUAGAGUAGCGAGAAAAUACACACCUGAUAGGAGACUGGAGUUAAUCCAUGCUCCGAGCACUCUUAGUCGACGCCCAACCCAAACAAGCACGCCAUACAGCGAAAGGG